UUAACUCUAACAGAAAAGAAAUUUCCCAACAAAACUUUGCCCCUCUUCUCUCUCUUUUGAUUUCUGCUUCAAGAUGACCAUACCAUAAUUCUCUCUCAUAUUCUCUCUCUUUUUCAUCAACAACAACAAUCUCUCUUCUCUCUCUGGUCUUCAAACCCAGCACGGCCGAAAUUCACCGUUAAAUGGAAAACAAAGUGAAACCCUUCUCAUCUUCCAUUGUAAUAUCUCUUUCACUCCUCAUUUUAUUCGUUCUCUCCAUCUCUCAUUAGCAUAGGGUUCAAUCCCUCUCAUUCUCCAAACACAUGAAAGAAGAUGAAUAGGGUUUCAGAAACCAGUUUGAUUUUGGUUAUCAAUUGUGAAAAGUUUGAGUUAUCCAACAUUGAACCAUCAACCACUUUCCUUAGUUCUUGCGCACUCAAACCCGAUUCAAGUGUUUCAAACUCUAUUGUGGUGAAGGUUUAGGGGCAAUCAUUUGAAGCAAAUGAAUUACUGGUGUGUCAAGGCAUAAAGAGACAUCAAGCAAUUUUGUAGUGCUUUGAAGUUUAAAGUGCAAGGCAUGAACUUCGUCUAAGGUCUUAGAUUAGACACAACUACUAUGUUUGGUAAUACUUCAAGAAUCAAAUGCUAUAUGAUGCAUAAGGAUUCUCAAGGAUUUUAUGGAAUUGUUUUCCUCUAAUGAGAAACAUGGUUCAACAUAUUCUUCAACUACAAUGAAGGAUUUCUAUACUUCUGCGAUGGACGCCGCUGAUGAUUCCACUGAUGAAAAAGACUACAAGGAUAAAAUCAACCCAUUCAUACAAAAUUUUACAUAAUCAUUGGCGGUGGAACCUGCCGGAGGCAAAUUAAUCAUCGACGAUAUUGACAUAUACGCCUUAGGCAAAAUUCUGUUAUUCUGUAUCAUUAUUGGGUUGAUAACUAUAAUGUCCUUCUAUUAUCUUCUCAUAUCAGUAUGUGAAAUAAUGGUUGCAGGUGGCACAAGUUUUAUCAUAGGACAUAAAUCUUAAUUAGUAUGUGAAAUAAUGUGUUUGUUACUUUUUAGUUU